rnacentral:rRNA from 1 species
UGCAAGUCGAGCGGUAACAUUUCUAGCUUGCUAGAAGAUGACGAGCGGCGGACGGGUGAGUAAUGCUUGGGAACAUGCCUUUAGGUGGGGGACAACCAUUGGAAACGAUGGCUAAUACCGCAUAAUGUCUACGGACCAAAGGGGGCUUCGGCUCUCGCCUUUAGAUUGGCCCAAGUGGGAUUAGCUAGUUGGUGAGGUAAUGGCUCACCAAGGCGACGAUCCCUAGCUGGUUUGAGAGGAUGAUCAGCCACACUGGAACUGAGACACGGUCCAGACUCCUACGGGAGGCAGCAGUGGGGAAUAUUGCACAAUGGGCGCAAGCCUGAUGCAGCCAUGCCGCGUGUGUGAAGAAGGCCUUCGGGUUGUAAAGCACUUUCAGUUGUGAGGAAAGGUUAGUAGUUAAUACCUGCUAGCUGUGACGUUAGCAACAGAAGAAGCACCGGCUAACUCCGUGCCAGCAGCCGCGGUAAUACGGAGGGUGCGAGCGUUAAUCGGAAUUACUGGGCGUAAAGCGUACGCAGGCGGUUUGUUAAGCGAGAUGUGAAAGCCCCGGGCUCAACCUGGGAACUGCAUUUCGAACUGGCAAACUAGAGUGUGAUAGAGGGUGGUAGAAUUUCAGGUGUAGCGGUGAAAUGCGUAGAGAUCUGAAGGAAUACCGAUGGCGAAGGCAGCCACCUGGGUCAACACUGACGCUCAUGUACGAAAGCGUGGGGAG